GAUGAACGCUGGCGGCGUGCCUAAUACAUGCAAGUCGAGCGAACAGACGAGGAGCUUGCUCCUCUGACGUUAGCGGCGGACGGGUGAGUAACACGUGGAUAACCUACCUAUAAGGCUGGGAUAACUUCGGGAAACCGGAGCUAAUACCGGAUAAUAUAUUGAACCGCAUGGUUCAAUAGUGAAAGACGGUUUUGCUGUCACUUAUAGAUGGAUCCGCGCCGCAUUAGCUAGUUGGUAAGGUAACGGCUUACCAAGGCGACGAUGCGUAGCCGACCUGAGAGGGUGAUCGGCCACACUGGAACUGAGACACGGUCCAGACUCCUACGGGAGGCAGCAGUAGGGAAUCUUCCGCAAUGGGCGAAAGCCUGACGGAGCAACGCCGCGUGAGUGAUGAAGGUCUUCGGAUCGUAAAACUCUGUUAUUAGGGAAGAACAAAUGUGUAAGUAACUAUGCACGCCUUGACGGUACCUAAUCAGAAAGCCACGGCUAACUACGUG
rnacentral:rRNA from 1 species